rnacentral:lncRNA from 1 species
AUGCUCAAAAUUCUCCAAGCCAGGCUUCAGCAAUAUGUGAACCGUGAACUUCCAGAUGUUCAAGCUGGUUUUCGAAAAGGCAGAGGAACCAGAGAUCAAAUUGCCAACAUCCGCUGGAUCAUCGGAAAAGCAACAGAGUUCCAGAAAAAUAUCUAUUUCUGCUUGAUUGACUAUGCCAAAGCCUUUGACUGUGUGGAUCACAAUAAACUGUGGAAAAUUCUGAAAGAGAUGGGAAUACCAGACCAUCUGACCUUCCUCUUGAGAAACCUAUAUGCAGGUCAGGAAGCAACAGUUAGAAUUGGAAAUGGAACAACAGACUGGUUCCAAAUAGGAAAAGGAGUACGUCAAGGCUGUAUAUUGUCACCCUGCUUAUUUAACUUCUAUGCAGAGUCCAUCAUGAGAAACGCUGGACUGGAAGAAGCACAAGCUGGAAUCAAGAUUGCCGGGAGAAAUAUCAAUAACCUCAGAUAUGCAGAUGAUACCACCCUUAUGGCAGAAAGUGAAGAGGAACUAAAAAGCCUCUUGAUGAACAUGAAAGAGGAGAGAGAACAAGUUGGCUUAAAGUUCAACAUUCAGAAAACUAAGAUCGUGGCAUCUGGUCCCAUCACUUCAUGGGAAAUAGAUGGAGAAACAGUGGAAACAGUGGCUGACUUUGUUUUUCUGGGCUCCAAAAUCACUGCAGAUGGUGACUGCAGCCAUGAAAUUCAAAGAUGCUUACUCCUUAGAAGGAAAGUUAUGACCAACCUAGAUAGCAUAUUGAAAAGCAGAGGCAUUACUUUGCCGACUAAGGUCCAUCUAGUCAAGGCUAUGGUUUUUCCCGUGGUCAUGUAUGGAUGUGAGAGUUGGACUGUGAAUAAAGCUGAGCACCAAAGAAUUGAUGCUUUUGAACUGUGGUGUUGGAGAAGACUCUUGAGUGUCUCUUGGACUGCAAGGAGAUCCAACCAGUCCAUUCUGAAGGAGAUCAGCCCUGGAUGUUCUUUGGAAGGACUGAUGCUGAGGCUGAAACUCCAGUACUUUGGCCACUUCAUGCAAAGAGUUGACUCAUUGGAAAAGACUCUGAUGCUGGGAGGGAUUAGGGACAGGAGGAGAAGGGGACCACAGAGGACAAUAUCAGGGGAAACAUCCUGA